rnacentral:rRNA from 1 species
UCCUACGGGUGGCAGCAGUGGGGAAUCUUAGACAAUGGGGGAAACCCUGAUCUAGCCAUGCCGCGUGAUCGAUGAAGGCCUUAGGGUUGUAAAGAUCUUUCAGUGGGGAAGAUAAUGACUGUACCCACAGAAGAAGCCCCGGCUAACUCCGUGCCAGCAGCCGCGGUAAUACGGAGGGGGCUAGCGUUGUUCGGAAUUACUGGGCGUAAAGCGCACGUAGGCGGAACAGAAAGUCAGAGGUGAAAUCCCAGGGCUCAACCUUGGAACUGCCUUUGAAACUCCUGUUCUUGAGGUCGAGAGAGGUGAGUGGAAUUCCGAGUGUAGAGGUGAAAUUCGUAGAUAUUCGGAGGAACACCAGUGGCGAAGGCGGCUCACUGGCUCGAUACUGACGCUGAGGUGCGAAAGCGUGGGGAGCAAACAGGAUUAGAUACCCGGGUAGUC